rnacentral:rRNA from 1 species
ACCUGAAGGAAGCAAGGCUACCCGCUGAACUUAA